GGCGACGCGAGGGACAGAGAGAUCACCUGGGGCCUCCAAGACGCCGUCCCCAGGGCCACCACCCUCUGGUCUUCUGCGCUGCAGGCCCGUGCUGCCAGAGAAUUCUGAGCCUCUGCUGCCCUCAGAUUAGAAGCGGGUUUUGGUGUGUCUGUGACUGAAAAGUCACAGGGGAAGGUCUUGGUCCAACUCUAAGGAAUGUAACCUCAACUGAAUGUCCUGAUUUCCUGGUCAGCACCAGUGAGGAAGUCUGCCUAAUAGACCCUGCCUUCACCCAAAAGAAGGUGUCCUUGCCCGAAAUAAUUCAUUUUUUUUUUGUUGUUGUUUAUGACUCACUUGCCUCACCCCCUGCCUCCUUCUAUUUUGUAGAGUUCCUCAGAGCUCCUUUCAGCUCGCUGGGAUGGAACCCCGCCUGAUUCAUGAAUCAUUGAA